UAGUACCGUGAGGGAAAGGUGAAAAGAACCCCGGGAGGGGAGUGAAAUAGAACCUGAAACUGUGUGCUUACAAGCGGUCAGAGCUCUUCGGAGUGAUGGCGUGCCUUUUGGAGAAUGAUCCUGCGAGUUACGUUCAGUGGCGAGGUUAAGUAUAACGGAGCCGAAGGGAAACCGAGUCUGAAUAGGGCGACAUAGUCGCUGGGCGUAGACGCGAAACCUGGUGAUCUAAGCCUGUCCAGGGUGAAGCUGUGGUAAGACACAGUGGAGGCCCGAACUCACCGCCGUUGAAAAGUUGGGAGAUGAGGUAGGUUUAGGGGUGAAAAGCCAAUCGAACUAGGAGAUAGCUCGUUCUCUCCGAAAUGCAUUUAGGUGCAGCCUUGAGUGUUUAAUUAUGGGGGUAGAGCACUGAAUGAACUAGGGGGCAUAUUGCUUACUGAAUUCAAUCAAACUCCGAAUACCAUAAUUCAAAGCUCAGGAGUGAGACUAUGGGAAUUAACUUCCAUUGUCAAAAGGGAAACAACCCAGACCACCAGCUAAGGUCCCUAAUUAUAACUAAGUGGGAAAGGAGGUGGAGAUUCACAAACAACCAGGAGGUUGGCUUAGAAGCAGCCAUACCUUUAAAGAGUGCGUAAUAGCUCACUGGUCGAGAGUCUCUGCGCCGACAAUGUAACGGGGCUAAGUUAUAAACCGAAGCUGUGGAAUUGCGCAAGCAAUUGGUAGGAGAGCGUUCUGUAGGCCGUUGAAGGAGAAGCGCAAGCAACUCUGGAGGUAUCAGAAGUGAGAAUGCAGGAAUAAGUAGCGAGAAAGGGGGCGAGAAUCCCCCUCGCCGGAAGACCAAGGUUUUCAGGGUAAAGCUUGUCUUCCCUGAGUAAGCCGGGACCUAAGCCGAGGCUAAAAUGCGUAGGCGAAUGGAAAACAGAUUAAUAUUUCUGUGCCAGUUAUAUUUUGUGAAGGAGGGACGCAGAAGGGUAUGUGCGCGGGAGAACGGAAGUUCCCGUAGAAGCAUGUAGAGUGGUCUAGUAGGCAAAUCCGCUAGAUUAGACUUGAGGUGUGAUAUAUAGUCGUAAGAUGAAUGCACAAAUCCCACGCUGCCGAGAAAAGCUUCUAACGUUAAGGUAUAACUGCCCGUACCCGAAACCGACACAGGUGGUCAGGAUGAGAAAUCUAAGGCGGACAGGCUAACUCUCGUUAAGGAACUCUGCAAAAUAGCCCCGUAACUUUGGGAGAAGGGGUGCCCCUGAAUGUUAAUAUACACGCGAUAUGAAGCAUUUGGGGGUCGCAGUGAAGAGGCUCAAGCAACUGUUUAACAAAAACACAGGUCUAUGCUAAGCUGUAAGGCGAUGUAUAUGGGCUGACACCUGCCCAGUGCCGGAAGGUUAAGAGGAGGAGUGAGAGCUCCGAAUUGAAGCCCCGGUGAACGGCGGCCGUAACUAUAACGGUCCUAAGGUAGCGAAAUUCCUUGUCGGGUAAGUUCCGACCUGCACGAAUGGUGUAAUGAUUUGAGCGCUGUCUUGACGGGAGGCCUGGUGAAAUUGUACUACCGGUGAAGAUACCGGUUACCUACAGUAGGACGGAAAGACCCCAUGGAGCUUUACUGUAGCUUGGUAUUGGGUUUUGGCAUUGCAUGUAUAGGAUAGUUGGGAAACUAAGAAGGUAUGGCGCUAGCUGUAUUGGAGUUGUCGGUGGAAUACCAACCAUUCAAUGUUGAAAUUCUAAUCUGUGGUUUGUAGCCACGGAAACAGUGCUAGGUGGGCAGUUUGACUGGGGCGGUCGCCUCCGAAAGAGUAACGGAGGCGUUCAAAGGUUCUCUCAGGUUGGAUGGAAAUCAACCGCAGAGUGCAAUGGCAUAAGAGAGCUUAACUGCAAGACUGACGGGUCGAGCAGGUGCGAAAGCAGGACAUAGUGAUCCGGCGAUUCCGAAUGGAAGGGUCGUCGCUCAACGGAUAAAAGCUACCCUGGGGAUAACAGGCUGAUUUUGCCCGAGAGUCCAUAUCGACGGCAAAGUUUGGCACCUCGAUGUCGGCUCAUCGCAUCCUGGGGCUGGAGAAGGUCCCAAGGGUUGGGCUGUUCGCCCAUUAAAGCGGUACGUGAGCUGGGUUCAGAACGUCGUGAGACAGUUCGGUCCCUAUCCACUGUAGGCGUUAGAAUAUUGAGAAGAUCUGUCCUUAGUACGAGAGGACCGGGAUGGACAAACCUCUGAUGUACCAGUUGUCACGCCAGUGGCACAGCUGGGUAGUCACGUUUGGAACGGAUAACCGCUGAAAGCAUCUAAGCGGGAAACCAGCUUCAAGAUAAGUAUUCU
rnacentral:rRNA from 1 species